rnacentral:rRNA from 2 species
UGGGGAAUAUUGGACAAUGGGCGCAAGCCUGAUCCAGCCAUGCCGCGUGAGUGAUGAAGGCCCUAGGGUUGUAAAGCUCUUUCACCGGUGAAGAUAAUGACGGUAACCGGAGAAGAAGCCCCGGCUAACUUCGUGCCAGCAGCCGCGGUAAUACGAAGGGGGCUAGCGUUGUUCGGAAUUACUGGGCGUAAAGCGCACGUAGGCGGAUAUUUAAGUCAGGGGUGAAAUCCCAGAGCUCAACUCUGGAACUGCCUUUGAUACUGGGUAUCUCGAGUAUGGAAGAGGUGAGUGGAAUUCCGAGUGUAGAGGUGAAAUUCGUAGAUAUUCGGAGGAACACCAGUGGCGAAGGCGGCUCACUGGUCCAUUACUGACGCUGAGGUGCGAAAGCGUGGGGAGCAAACA